CAACUCGAUCCCAUUGUUGUUAGAGAAAUCGAAGUUUAAACCAUCUUGGUUUACACUUGGAUCUUCCCCAUCCCUGCUGCCAGUGGCACUGCUGCUCAUAGGGAUAAUCUUCUGGUCAUGGCACCCAUAGUUCGUGAAAUUAUUGAUAUCUUCAGGUCUGCUGACUUCCCAAACCCCAUUACUAUUCUUCCUGAUGCCAAGUUUCAGACCACGAUCUGAUCCACCUUCCUGCUUUAUCUGCUUCAGUGCUUCCAUCUUUGGUUUAACUUCCUCAUUUGAAACACACAAAGUGCCCUCAGGGGAGUGCCACAUGCAAAGAUCACCAAGAUCCCUGCGCUCACUUUCACUUUUUGACCUCACACGCCAGAAACCAUCAGGUUUGACCUCAAUUUCUG
rnacentral:lncRNA from 1 species